AAGAGUUGAGAAAAAAAGAAAAGAAAAACUGAAAAAGGGGAAGGAAAGCUUGUUUUACACGCUUUUGAGUUUCAUAAUCAACGAACACCAUUCUUUUUGCUUCCUUGCUUAACUCUGGCCGUUUGAUUUCCUCUAGCGGGUAGCUCCGUCAGAAUCAUGACCUCCUCUCUCUUCUUCUCGCUUUCACGUUCUCUACCCUAGGUCGAGAGUGUUUCUCUCCUCUCAAGUGCGUGUAGAGAAUGUUUGGCUCAAAUGACUUGCUCGAGCAAGGACCCCCUUAAAACUGCUACCAAGACGCAUCAAAACGGCGUCAUCACACUAAAGUUGGAGGCACGCCCAAUGCUUUUGCUCAAGUUCAACCAGUCCAAAGAAGUGCUGCAAUGCUAAAAAUUUUCUUCCAAUCAACAAUGGCACAAUUCAUUUUAGUGCAGUGGCAACAACAUUUCAUUUAAUCCUAGUCAGCAAAAAUGCAGCCCAUCAAAGGGCAGUAGCUCAAUAGCUUCAAUCAAUCCACUUAAACAUCAAGUGCAGCAGCCUAGUAACGAAAUUCAUUUCACAACAUCUCUGGUCCAAUAUAAAAUGGCCAACCCAAUUUUUUAUUGUCGCACAACAAUGUUUUAGUACGGGAUAACAACAAUAGCAGUGUCAACCCAAAAGUGGGAUCAAGGCCCAAUUAAUCCAAUCAGCAUUGCAAUGGCCAAAUCUGC
rnacentral:lncRNA from 1 species